GUCUGGGAUUAGGACGACAGGAACCAGGAGCAGGUGGGGAGGCAGGAACCAGGAGCAGAAUCAUAGUUGUACCUGGCACAUAAAUGAAUAAAAAAAGACAAUGCCUUGGCCCACAAGGAGUUUACAAUCUAACAACAAGAGACCAUAAAAGGGAAAGGAAGAGGGUGGAGAGACGACAAACACUGCUCUACCAAAAGAUAGGAUUUCUGAAGAAACCAAAUGACUUGUUCACAGGAUGAGAGUUUGUGGGCCAGACUUCAGCUCACAGCAAGUUUUACAGAAGAGUUACAACUCCUUGAAAAAUAGGGUUUAUUGUAGAACUACAGUAAUCAUUGUUACAAAACUACUCUAAAAUGGAGAACAAAAUCUGUUACCAAAAAUUAUCAGAUAUACUAACACAUUUUUCUUGAUUAUCAACAUUAACAGGUAUUUCUUCUC